rnacentral:rRNA from 1 species
UACGUAGGGGGGCAAGCGUUGUCCGGAUUUAUUGGGCGUAAAGAGCUCGUAGGCGGUUCGGUUAGUCGGGUGUGAAAACUUUGGGCUCAACUCAAAGACUGCACCCGAUACUGCUGUGACUCGAGUCCGGUAGGGGAGUGGGGAAUUCCUGGUGUAGCGGGUGGAAUGCGCAGAUAUCAGGAGGAACACCGGUGGCGAAGGCGCCACUCUGGGCCGGUACUGACGCUGAGGAGCGAAAGCGUGGGGAGCGAACAGG